CAUUCCAUCAUCAAGGACGCUCUAGCUUCGGAGCCCUUCGCCACCUCCGAGAUCCGCCGCCGCCACCCUCUCUGAUUCUUGUCGACGCUGCCGGCGACGCCAUCCGGCUCUCGCGUCAGCUGCCACCAACGUGGCUCCACCCCUGUCUCCCCCAUCGAUCCCCAGCACCUCCUCGCUGUUCCCCCCUGCGCGCGCCCCUGUGGGCUGCGGCUAACCCUAGACGCCAACUCGUGUUGCGGGCACUGAGGAUGGGAGCGGGCGGCCGCAUCGCUAAGGGGUUGGAGCGGCUGGGGCGUCACCGCCGCCGAACUCCGGGAAUCGCCGCCGCCAAGUCUCCAGGGCAGGGCGGUUUCAAACCCUGCCGACGAACUCCAGGAUACGCAUAAUCAUUGCCGCCGCCCCCCUCCCCCGGCUGCCCCGCGGUCUUCUAUCUCUCCCAACUCCGCUGUCGCGCCACGUCUUCCGUCUCUGCAUGAAUCGCGGCUGUGGCAGCCACUCCCCAUGGCGGCCAUCCUGGCACACCGUGUCCGGGAUGAUGGAGGUGAUGUCGGCCAGGUCCCUGUUUCCGUCGGCAUCUUCUGCGAUGAGACCCGUGGGGGCAGGUUGCACGCUGAUCUGCGUCGAUGGCGUCGGCGUGGUCCUUCCCCUGCCAAGCGUGGCUGCUCCUUGGCUGGAUCAUAGUGAUGAUACAGUCGGCUCGGCGGGGGCUAGGGAUCUCGCUGGCUAGCGUUUAUUUGAUGUCUGGAUGUUCCAAUUGUGAUGGAACAGACGUAUAAUGUACUGUACAAGAAUUUGGACGAGGCUCAUCUGCGUGGAUGGUUGUGGCUUGGCUGCCGGGCACACAAUCCAUUGAUUCACACAUAAGGUCAAAACCGAGUCGAGGUGUUCACAAUGCUGGGCAUUAUUUAUAUCAAAGGACGAGGAGGAAGAUUUGGAUGACCGUAACCAAAAUGGCAAGGGCAGCAACAUGGUCGUCACCUGCAAUGCCGAUGGGUGCUGAGAUUAAGAUGUUUGGUUUAUUUGUUGAAAGUUACAUCCCAUGUUUCAUGAUUUAUUUGCCGCUGGUUAAUCAUGAUAUUUUGAACUGCUCUGACAAUUGCUUGCUGUCUGCGUCUCUUACUUUCCAACUUGCUGCACAUACAGAUAUACAUCAUUAGAAUCUCUUUGUACUUAUUCAACAUGCUUCAGUUAUGCUUCUUUGAAAAUCUAGUUGUAGAUGCAGUGAAGCCCCAUUUAGAUCUUGGCUAUAGUAUUAUUCUUGUCUUAUGACUUAUGACGGAUUGAUAUGUGAUACCAUGACAUAGCAUUGUGGUACCGUGGUAGUCACAUUUGGUGGUAGUUCUAAUUAUUUGCUAGAUUACGAGAUAAGACCAAGUGCUUCUGCAACUCGGUUGCGAUUUUGAUAGGAACAUGAAGACUUGUGCCAUGCCAUGGAGCAUGUUUGAUUUAAAGGAGUAAGUCAACAUACAUCUUGUUUCUUAUGUUUUAUCUAGAGAAAAUGAUUGUUCCUUGUGAGUCAUUUUCUUCUACAAAUGCAGCAUAGUUGCUCCAAUAUAUUGAGCAGGGAAGAAGUUUGUUACAAGUGUUUUAUAGAGUUGACGCAGGAGACAUCCGACGGGAUACAUUGGCAGGCACUUCAUGAAAGGCGGACUCCAUUUAAUCCUUUCCAGUUGCUUACUGAACACCAAGCCCUAUUUGAUAUGCUUGAUGAUUGUUAUAUAGGUGCAGGAAUCGACGAAGAAGCUUCCGUUCAGCAUGGUAUCUCAAUGGAAGAAUAUCCGAAGCAAACCUCCGCUACUUGUCUGUUCCCUUUCAUUUGUCGUGGGAAGACCUUAGGAAGGUAGGAAGACCUUAGGAAGAGUGGGUGGGAGGAAGGGAGGCAUGUGCUAUAGAUGUAGGCGAACAAUGGUCCUUGGAAAUUAUUAGUACUUUACAAAAUGUCUGUCCCCUGUGACGCCUACAAUGAGCGAGAGAGGGUGGAAGGAAGGGAGACCGGAGGAAGGAAGAUGGGGAUAUAUGUAGAGAGAGGGAGAUAGGAGGAAGGGAGAUGGGCAUAUAUGUAGAGAGAGGAAGAUCAGAGAGGGAGGGAAGAUUUACAGGACGAUUGUCAUUGAGCCACUCAAAUAUGUAUGUCUCUGUUGCAUCACACGGGCAAUUAACUAUAGAAAAAUUCAAGGCUAUUUUUUAAAGUGACA